AAGGUGUUGUUGCUGGCCAUUAACAUCAACACCUGACGACAGGCUUUAAAGAGUCUUAAGGAGAGCAGAAGCCGGCUUCUGCCCACAGCUCGUCCCUGAUUAGUAGGCACUGUUUUUGCUCAUAUUGAGCUGAGCUGCUCAGUGAGCAAGCAUUGCUUCUGCUGCCUGCUGGGUGACACAACUGUGCUUGCAGGUGGUGGCUCAAAUGGUGAGGGCUGAGGACAGACCUGACUGAUGAGGAGGGCUGGCAGAGAGUCCCAACUGGCCAUCGUGGAUGCUCCCCCUGCCUGCCUCAUGUCCGCCGCUCUUCCUGAGCAACAGGUAUCAGGCAUUGGAAAUCGAAGAGGAGGCGUACCUCUGGAUAGCCCCACGCCAUGUUCUGCCCAUGAGAGAAGAGACUUUAUUGUCUGUAAGAACUGCCGUUCUCUGGAGAGAGUCAUCCUGACCAAAUGUGAAGGAACGUGUGGAACUUUCUCACUGUAUUUUGUUGAGGCCAGUUCUAUGGAACACAGUUGUUUUUCUGCAAGGAAGUAGAAACGAACAUGAAGGAAGUGGAACCGAAACAUCCCUCUGGGAACUCAUUUACACAUGAGUAUGUGUAUGUGGAAAGCUGCAGCUGUUGGGACACUCGGUGCAAUGUCCCAGAAUCUAGUGAUUCUCAGAGCUCAGAAGAAAAUGAUGAGAGCGCUCAAAAUCAUAGGAGAAGAGCCAUCAGCUUAACAUCAAAAUGAAGCAGAGAGAAGCUAAUGGCACUCAAGUAAAGGAUCUAUGCACCACUCUGAUCUUCCUUGACAGCUCUUGAACUUAGCUUUUCCCUGCUACUGUAUCCUGUAUGUUCUCUAAUUGUUUUUAACAGUGCUCUAUUUAUGUGUGUACAAACGGAAGAAAGCUCACUGUAAAAGUAGCAUACACCUCUGGAUCAUUUUAUAAUCAACUUAUUUUAUCUGAAUGAU